UUAUGAGCCGAUGAGAAACGGCUA
rnacentral:snRNA from 1 species